rnacentral:piRNA from 1 species
UAAAGAACGUGUCUGUCAAAGAU